GGGCUCGAAUAUGAGCAAUU
rnacentral:siRNA from 1 species